AACGAACGCUGGCGGCAGGCUUAACACAGGCAAGUCGAGCGCCCCGCAAGGGGAGCGGCAGACGGGUGAGUAACGCGUGGGAAUCUACCCAUCUCUACGGAAUAACGCAUGGAAACGUGGGCUAAUACCGUAUACGUCCUUCGGGAGAAAGAUUUAUCGGAGAUGGAUGAGCCCGCGUUGGAUUAGCUAGUUGGUGGGGUAAAGGCCUACCAAGGCGACGAUCCAUAGCUGGUCUGAGAGGAUGAUCAGCCACACUGGGACUGAGACACGGCCCAGACUCCUACGGGAGGCAGCAGUGGGGAAUAUUGGACAAUGGGCGCAAGCCUGAUCCAGCCAUGCCGCGUGAGUGAUGAAGGCCCUAGGGUUGUAAAGCUCUUUCACCGGUGAAGAUAAUGACGGUAACCGGAGAAGAAGCCCCGGCUAACUUCGUGCCAGCCGCCGCCGUAAGAC
rnacentral:rRNA from 1 species